rnacentral:rRNA from 1 species
AGUGAACGCUGGCGGUAGGCCUAACACAUGCAAGUCGAACGGCAGCACAGUAAGAGCUUGCUCUUACGGGUGGCGAGUGGCGGACGGGUGAGGAAUACAUCGGAAUCUACUUUUUCGUGGGGGAUAACGUAGGGAAACUUACGCUAAUACCGCAUACGACCUACGGGUGAAAGCAGGGGAUCUUCGGACCUUGCGCGAUUGAAUGAGCCGAUGUCGGAUUAGCUAGUUGGCGGGGUAAAGGCCCACCAAGGCGACGAUCCGUAGCUGGUCUGAGAGGAUGAUCAGCCACACGGGAACUGAGACACGGUCCAGACGCCUACGGGAGGCAGCAGUGGGGAAUAUUGGACAAUGGGCGCAAGUCUGAUCCAGCCAUACCGCGUGGGUGAAGAAGGCCUUCGGGUUGUAAAGCCCUUUUGUUGGGAAAGAAAAGCAGCAGGUUAAUACCCCGCUGUUCUGACGGUACCCAAAGAAUAAGCACCGGCUAACUUCGUG